GAUGAACGCUAGCGGCAGGCUUAACACAUGCAAGUCGAGGGGUAGAAGUUGCUUGCAACUUUGAGACCGGCGCACGGGUGCGUAACGCGUAUGCAAUCUACCUUAUACAGAGGGAUAGCCCAGAGAAAUUUGGAUUAAUACCUCAUAGUAUAAUUGAAUGGCAUCAUUUAAUUAUUAAAGUUCCAACGGUAUAAGAUGAGCAUGCGUCCUAUUAGCUAGAUGGUAAGGUAACGGCUUACCAUGGCAACGAUAGGUAGGGGUACUGAGAGGGAGAUCCCCCACACUGGUACUGAGACACGGACCAGACUCCUACGGGAGGCAGCAGUGAGGAAUAUUGGACAAUGGGCGCAAGCCUGAUCCAGCCAUGCCGCGUGCAGGAAGAAGCAUCUAUGGUGUGUAAACUGCUUUUGUACGGGAAGAAACACCCCUUCGUGAAGGGACUUGACGGUACCGUAAGAAUAAGGAUCGGCUAACUCCGUGCCAGCAGCCGCCGUAA
rnacentral:rRNA from 1 species